ACCACACAGUUAAAGAAUUCCUGUUAAAGAAUUUAUGCUGUGCUUUUUUCUCUCUCCAAGACCAUAAACGUGCCACCACCAUCAGGAAUACCAGUGUGGAGAUUACUGGCUUGAUCCCUUCCACCAGCUCUGCCCUCCGUGACAUCAAAUGAAGCUGCACACUGACCCUUUCCUGUGACACACAACCCACACCACCGAGCCUGCUCUCCCACGAUGGAGGCUUUUCCAGCUAAGUUAAUGCAAACUAAGAGAAGGUUUACAAAUGAAAGUCAGCUAAACAAAUAUACAGAAAAAAGGGGAUUAAAAAAUUUGCCUAAAGCAGCUUUGUAAAGAAGAGCUGAAAUGAUGUCAUCCUUCAAAGAAGUUCCAAUAACCAAGGUCAAGCAAGGGUACUAAUUUCAAGCAGAAGUAAUGUGACACUCCAGGCAGGCAGGGAGCUAUGGGGAGAUGCAGUUGGAAGGGACAGAGGGAGAAGAGCUCUUUUUCUGGGUGAUGGGGAGCCAGAGACAGCGAAAAGAGGUGGGAGCCAAGAGUUCAGAACAAGCAAAUGAAACAAAAAGUCAACGUGAGAAACUCAACGUGAUCUUCUCACUUGCUUCACAUUGUGCAGCAAUAAAAGAUGGAAGCAGCAGCACAGUGCAACAGGGGUGUAGUGUGUGAAAAAGCACAGCACAGUUGCAAAACGAGGUUUGCUUGAUUUCUGACAGCCUAAAGGGAUGCAAUAUCUUUCUCUGACUGUCCUCCUCCCUGCAGUGAAAAUAGAGAGACCCUGGGUCACCUCGGUAGACUCAAUGCUUGCAUGGAUGAGCAGCACUGUUUUAAAAGCUGCCAGUCUCUCAAAAACCAUCCCUAAAAUUCUGAUUUCUGGUGCUGCAAGGAUGUACUUAAGAUCAAAAAUGUGAAGUUACAAAACGCUGUAGAGCAUUGUACUGGCUGGAGAAUGACUUUGUUACAGCAGCCUGAAAGAAAAAUUACAGUUGUGUUGGCAUGUUCUCCACCUGUCUUUAACAGACUUGCCAUUUCACUGAUAUCAAAAGGCAAAAUAGGAGGAAAACCUUCUAGAGGAAGGAGAAGAAACACAACAAAUGGCAGAAAGAAGUGGUGGAAACCAGUGACACUUUGGUGUGGGAUUGAGGGUUUAAAAAAGGCGAUCAAGAACCUCCGAAACAGGAGAUGUCACAUCAAAUAAAAUUUGACAUCAACAAGAGCAUAAACAGAGCAAGUUAUACUGGUGGGCUAUGGGGGCUGAGUGAUAGGAGCAGUGACUCAGCAAAAGCAUCGGGGUCUGGGUGAGUGUCAUGGCCCUGAGUGCACUGAUGAGCUUUAAUGUCCCUGAGCAGCCACACCUGGAGCCUCCCCCGCCCCUAUGGGCCUCUGAGCCCCAUUUAAGCUCAGACCUGAGCCUGCAGUCCUUUCCUAAGCCAAGCUGGAGGAGUUCUGGUGGGUUACUGUGGCUGUGCCAGGCUAUGGAUGCUGUUGAUCCAGACCUCAGCCUGAAGAGUGGCUUCCCACCUUUGUCUUGUACCUGCAUCAUCCCAGGAACUUUGCUUGAUCACCUGUACUUCCAGUGGGUCCUGGCUGUGAUCUCUGGGCCUGCCCUGCUUGCCCUGCUCAGGUACUGUAAAUAUUGAUGCAGCAGUGGGUUGUGCUGCCAUCCAGGGGGAGAAAUGGGUGGGUAGGAGCUUCGGGAAGCUCAGCACGGGGAAUUGCUAAAGGCCAGCACGCAAGGAGGAGCAGUCUUGUGCACCAGCACAUGCUGGGGGCUGGAAAGCAGCUCCCCAGGAAAGGGUCUGGGGGUGCUGGUGGGCACCAGGUUGAGUCUGAGCAGUGAUAUGACCUUGUGGCAAAGAAGGUUAAUGGUAUGUGGAGCUGUGUUAGGAGGGGUCUUGCUGGCAGCUUGAAGGAGAUGAUCCUGCCCCUCUACUCAGCACUGAUGAGACCAUCCCUGGAGUGCUGGGUCCAGCUCUGGGCUCCCCAGCAUGAGAGUGAUGUGGAGUGAGUUCAGUGAAGGGCCAGUAGGGUAAUUAAGGGACUGCAGUGUGUCCAUGAGGAAGGGCUGAGGGAGCUGUGGCUCCAGCUUGGAGGGAUGUCACCAAUAUAAGGAGUGAGAGAAAGGUGUAAAGAAGAUGGAGUCAGACUUGUGGCCACUGGUGAUAGGCACAAACUGAAACAUGGGAGUUCCAUCUGAACAUAAGAGAACAACUUGUUUACUGUGGAGUUGACUGAGCACUGGCACAGGUUGCCCACGGAGGUUGUGGAACCUUUAUCAUUGGAGAUGUUCAAAAGAUGUCUGGGCAUGGUCUUGGGCAAGUGGCUCCAGGUGACGCCAUUUGAGGACAAGAUUACAUUCAGAGAUCCCUUCCUGCCUCGCAGAUUCUGUGGUUCUGCUCUCCAGGAGGUGUUAUUGCCACUGGCUCCCCAUCCCCGGGGUGCAGCUGCUCCCUGCCAGCAGGUAAUUAACUGGAUGUGUUGAAUGUGGCCAGUAUGAAAGUUGGCUCUUACCCUGAGCAUACUAAGUAGGAGCAAGGAAGAAACCUCUUGGUA